GCAAGACUAAAACUCAAAGGAAUUGACGGGGCCCGCACAAGCGGCGGAGCAUGCGGAUUAAUUCGAUGCAACGCGAAGAACCUUACCAAGGCUUGACAUAUAGAGGAAACGUGCAGAAAUGUACGCCCCGCAAGGUCUCUAUACAGGUGGUGCAUGGUUGUCGUCAGCUCGUUUCGUGAGAUGUUGGGUUAAGUCCCGCAACGAGCGCAACCCUCGUCCUAUGUUGCCAGCACGUAAUGGUGGGAACUCAUGGGAGACUGCCGGGUUCAACUCGGAGUAAGGUGGGGAUGACGUCAAAUCAUCAUGCCCCUUAUGUCUUGGGCUUCACGCAUGCUACAAUGGCCAGUACAAAGGGCUGCAAUACCGUAAGGUGGAGCGAAUCCCAAAAAGCUGGUCUCAGUUCGGAUUGAGGUCUGCAACUCGACCUCAUGAAGUCGGAGUCGUUAGUAAUCGCAGAUCAGCAACGCUGCGGUGAAUACGUUCC
rnacentral:rRNA from 1 species